rnacentral:rRNA from 1 species
GACAGAGGGUGCAAGCGUUGUUCGAAAUUACUGGGCGUAAAGGGUACGUAGGCGGCGAAGUGUGUCUGAUGUGAAAGACCUUGGCUUAACCAAGGAAGUGCAUUGGAAACUACUUUGCUAGAGUGUGAGAGAGGAUGGUGGAAUUCCCAGAGUAGAGGUGAAAUUCGUAGAUACUGGGAGGAACAUCUGAGGCGAAGGCGACCAUCUGGAUCAUAACUGACGCUGAGGUACGAAAGCAUGGGUAGCAAACAGG